UACAGAGUGUUGCAAUUUGUAUAUGUUUAAAAACACAAAUUAAAAUACUGCAAUAAAAAAUAAAUACAGUAUAUGCUUAAGUAUAUGUACUUUUUGUUCUUGUUUCCUCCUUUUUGUUUAGGAGGAGUUUCCUGCCAAAUGCAAAAUAUCAUUGCCAGACCUGGUGGAUAUAGAAGAAAAUAGAAAAAAAUUAUAAAAUCAGGUUGCUGGAAGCAAUUAAAACUAGAUGCCAAAAAAGAGGCAGAUAAUAACCAAUGAGCUGCACAUAGGACCGUUAUCGUCGAAUCCCUCUACAUAAGUAGUUUUAUCUGUUUUGGAUUACAGUAUUGAACCAUUGUCCAAUCCACAUAAACCACCAUCACCACUUAUCAUUACAUAUGAAAAUAAAAUACUGAAUUACUUACAUCUAUAAAUGAAUACUCUAAUUCAGGAUUAUUUUCACCUGUAGUGAUAAGUGAUGCCAAGGAAAAUAUGGAAGUGGCAGAUGAUCCACCACCAUCCAAAAGACAAUGCAUUAACUCUAGAAAAAUCCCAAAUCCAGCUAAUAGAGGAUGGCAUAAAAACAGAGAAAAUGAAACAAGAUACAGAAAGGAAAAGGCUAGAAGCAGAACAACAUAGGAUAGAGGUAUUCAGGUUUAAAAAGUUGAAACUUCUGCAAGAACUAAAAUUAUCACAUAAUAAAUAAAUUUAUUUAUUAUAAAUAUUAAAACGGCCCUUUUCUAGGCCAACAACUUUAGUUUAGUGGUCAUAUCGUAUUAAUAAACAAUUAGAUGAUGGAAGAAUAUCAAAGAAAAAAUGUAUGAAAAUAAAGAUUAUAAUUUUUAGUGUAAAGUGAAAUCUGUAAAUUUUUUCAAUAAGUUGUAUUGCAUAAAAGAAAGACAAAA